CCUACGGGUGGCAGCAGUGGGGAAUUUUGGACAAUGGGGGCAACCCUGAUCCAGCAAUGCCGCGUGAGUGAAGAAGGCCUUCGGGUUGUAAAGCUCUUUUGUCAGGGAAGAAACGGUAGUAGCUAAUAUCUAUUACUAAUGACGGUACCUGAAGAAUAAGCACCGGCUAACUACGUGCCAGCAGCCGCGGUAAUACGUAGGGUGCAAGCGUUAAUCGGAAUUACUGGGCGUAAAGCGUGCGCAGGCGGUUGUGUAAGUCAGAUGUGAAAUCCCCGGGCUCAACCUGGGAAUUGCAUUUGAGACUGCACGGCUAGAGUGUGUCAGAGGGGGGUAGAAUUCCACGUGUAGCAGUGAAAUGCGUAGAUAUGUGGAGGAAUACCGAUGGCGAAGGCAGCCCCCUGGGAUAACACUGACGCUCAUGCACGAAAGCGUGGGGAGCAAACAGGAUUAGAUACCCUUGUAGUC
rnacentral:rRNA from 1 species